rnacentral:rRNA from 1 species
GAUGAACGCUGGCGGCGUGCUUAAUACAUGCAAGUCGAGCGAACAGAUGAGGAGCUUGCUCUCCUGACGAUAGCGGCGCACGGGUGAGUAACAUGUGUAUAACCCACCUAAAUAACGGGGAACACCUUGGGAAACGGUAGCUUAUACCCGCUAAUAUACUAAACCACAUUGGUCGAUAGCUAAAUGCGGUUUUUCUGUAUCUUAUCGAUGGUUCCGGGCCGCAUUAGUUAGUUGGGAGGGUAACGGCUUACGCAGGCAAGGAUUCGUAUACGACUGCCGAGGGGGAUAGUCACCCCUGGAACUGGAACACGGUCCAGACUCCUACGGGAGGCACCAGUGGGGAAUCUUCCGCAACGGGGGAAAGCCUGACGGAGCAACGCCGCGUGAGUGAUGAAGGUCUUCGGAUCGUAAAGCUCUGUUAGUAGGGAAGAACAAAUGUGUACGUAAAUAUGCACGUCUUGACGGUACCUAAUCAGAAAGCACCGGCUAACUACGUG